rnacentral:rRNA from 1 species
AUGAACGCUGGCGGCGUGUCUUAGGCAUGCAAGUUGAUCGGUGUAGCAAUAUAACCGAAGCAAACGGGUGCGUAACACAUUGGUAACCUACCUCGAACUUGGGCAUAACCCGGCGAAAGCUGGGCUAAUUCCCAAUAGUCAGGUGUCACCUUCGGGUGGUGCUUGUAAAGCCUUGUGUGGUUCGAGAGGGGCCUAUGGCCCAUCAGUUAGUUGGUAGGGUAAUGGCCUACCAAGACGAUGACGGGUAGCAGGCGUGAGAGCGCGACCUGCCUCAGUGGAACUGAGAUACUGUCCACACUCCUACGGGAGGCUGCAGUCAAGAAUCUUCCCCAAUGCGCGAAAGCGUGAGGGAGCGACGCCGCGUGACUGAAGAAGCCCUUCGGGGCGUAAAAGUCUUUUCCAGAGGAAAAAUAAAUGAUAUUACUCUGGGAAUAAGGGGCUGCUAAUCUCGU